rnacentral:lncRNA from 1 species
AUGGAGAGAAAAAAGCAAGGAAAGAAAAUGAAGAAUCAAGAAAAGAGACAUGUAUAAACUGGCGAUCUUUAUUGGUUCUUAACAUUACAAAGCAUGAGAACAAUCAUGAAAUAGUACUCACUACUGUUAUUAGCCAAGGUUGCAGAGGGCGGGGUGCUGGUGGACAGUGCCCAUGUCCAUGCCCAUGAUAGUGGCGACCUUGUCUUGACUUAUAAAUUUUGACUAAAUACUUAAAAUUUAUUUUCAUAGAAGAUUAGGGACCAAUUUUGGCCCUAACAAAAAAGAUUUUCAUAUCACCUAUGUAUUAAUAUCAUUUGCUUUUUCUAGGUUUUAUUUUCUAUUUUAUCUUCCCUAUUUUUGGAUAAAUUAAUGUUUAAAAAAUUAAUAAUUAAAAGAAAAAAAAGAGGGAGGUUCUGGAGAUAGAAACCGAGGCUAAGAGAGCUGAGAUAGAGUGAGUAAGCCUCAGUCGACGCUGCGGCCGUGACAUCCCCUGUCUGACAAGCUCCAGCCAGCGUUGCCGAGCCAAAUCGUGAGCCUCCGGCCUUGUUUUUGCCCCGUUUUGGGCGCAUCGGGGCGGAGCUCGCGGCCGUCGGGCUAACGCGAACUCUGACCCCUCAUCUGUCCUUCGGUUUGCUGCUGUGUGUGUUCGUCCGUCGAGAGUCCCGGUCUCCGAUUUGGGUCUCAAUUGGGCUGAAAGACCAUCGAUCCCGUAACGUACACCACCUGUUCGACACAAUGACUAAACGAGAUCUAGUUUCCGUGUCCUCGCUUCUGGCCAAGACCAAGCGUCCUUGGCUUGAUUAACGUUGUUGAGAUGAUGUUAUUGAGUGUAGCGAUUCGGGCGUCGGUCGUUUGGGUCGUUUCGCAGAGUCCCUGUAAUAUAAAAGUCGGUGACAGCCCACUUGGAGGACCCGGAUUCUUCAUAUACUAAGCAUUUGGCUGUGGAAUUUUAAGCAUUAAAGGAGGAGGUUUGGUAAAAAGCAAUGAACGAGAUGUCGUAGACAAAAGGAAGGCUGGUCUUUUCAAACCCUUGCUCUUCACGAAAUUCAGUCUCGAAAAAGGGCACUUUCGAUAUUGUUUUGCGGAAAUUUACCGCCAUAAAUGAAAUGCUCGGACAACAAUAUAAUUUACUGCAGACGUGAAGAUGCUCAAAGAAGCUUUGUUCUGAGAAGAAGAAACUGUCUCCAUCACGAGUCGGGUAAAAACGAACUGAAAGACCUAGAAAACACGUUGAAUUACCGAAGCAACCGGCUUCGCAAGUGAAGAUAUUUGACGCGUGCUCUAGAAAAGCCAUAAAAGAUAUAGCCCAAACAAUGUCUAUCCAUAAAAGGAAAUUCUCAUUUUAAGACUAUCACUUCGAAGAACUUCAUCGAUAGAAUUGUGGGCACAAUUGAAGGAGAGUGUUGAAUUAUGUCUCAAAUUUGAGUACCCGACCCGAUGUUAAUUAGAC